rnacentral:rRNA from 1 species
UACGGGGGGGGCAAGCGUUGUUCGGAAUUACUGGGCGUAAAGGGCUCGUAGGUGGCCAACUAAGUCAGACGUGAAAUCCCUCGGCUUAACCGGGGAACUGCGUCUGAUACUGGAUGGCUUGAGUGUGGGAGAGGGAUGCGGAAUUCCAGGUGUAGCGGUGAAAUGCGUAGAUAUCAGGAGGAACACCGGUGGCGAAGGCGGUUCUCUGGGAAUGUCCUGACGCUGAGGAGCGAAAGUGUGGGGAGCGAACAGG